GACGAACGCUGGCGGCGUGCUUAACACAUGCAAGUCGAACGGUAAGGCUCCAGCUUGCUGGGGUACACGAGUGGCGAACGGGUGAGUAACACGUGGGUGACCUGCCCUGCACUUCGGGAUAAGCCUGGGAAACUGGGUCUAAUACCGGAUAGGACCGCACCGUGAGGGUGUGGUGGAAAGUUUUUUCGGUGUGGGAUGGGCCCGCGGCCUAUCAGCUUGUUGGUGGGGUAAUGGCCUACCAAGGCGGCGACGGGUAGCCGGCCUGAGAGGGUGGACGGCCACAUUGGGACUGAGACACGGCCCAGACUCCUACGGGAGGCAGCAGUGGGGAAUAUUGCACAAUGGGCGGAAGCCUGAUGCAGCGACGCCGCGUGGGGGAUGACGGCCUUCGGGUUGUAAACUCCUUUCACCAUCGACGAAGGGUUUCUGACGGUAGAUGGAGAAGAAGCACCGGCUAACUACGUGCCAGCAGCCGCGGUAAUACGUAGGGUGCGAGCGUUGUCCGGAAUUACUGGGCGUAAAGAGCUCGUAGGUGGUUUGUCGCGUCGUCUGUGAAAUUCCGGGGCUUAACUCCGGGCGUGCAGGCGAUACGGGCAUAACUUGAGUACUGUAGGGGAGACUGGAAUUCCUGGUGUAGCGGUGAAAUGCGCAGAUAUCAGGAGGAACACCGGUGGCGAAGGCGGGUCUCUGGGCAGUAACUGACGCUGAGGAGCGAAAGCAUGGGGAGCGAACAGGAUUAGAUACCCUGGUAGUCCAUGCCGUAAACGGUGGGCGCUAGGUGUGGGUUUCCUUCCACGGGAUCCGUGCCGUAGCUAACGCAUUAAGCGCCCCGCCUGGGGAGUACGGCCGCAAGGCUAAAACUCAAAGGAAUUGACGGGGGCCCGCACAAGCGGCGGAGCAUGUGGAUUAAUUCGAUGCAACGCGAAGAACCUUACCUGGGCUUGACAUAUACAGGAUCGCGCCAGAGAUGGUGUUUCCCUUGUGGCUUGUAUACAGGUGGUGCAUGGUUGUCGUCAGCUCGUGUCGUGAGAUGUUGGGUUAAGUCCCGCAACGAGCGCAACCCUUGUCUUAUGUUGCCAGCACGUUGUGGUGGGGACUCGUAAGAAACUGCCGGGGUUAACUCGGAGGAAGGUGGGGAUGACGUCAAAUCAUCAUGCCCCUUAUGUCCAGGGCUUCACACAUGCUACAAUGGUCGGUACAGUGGGUUGCCAGUCCGUGAGGGCGAGCUAAUCCCGCAAAGCCGGUCUCAGUUCGGAUCGGGGUCUGCAACUCGACCCCGUGAAGUCGGAGUCGCUAGUAAUCGCAGAUCAGCAACGCUGCGGUGAAUACGUUCCCGGGCCU
rnacentral:rRNA from 1 species